UGUCUUGAAGGACAGAAAACAGAUAGCCCUGAGGCGGGAAAAGCUAGUCAGGAAACCCUUUGUCUUGAAUCCAUAAAAGGUUAAUUGCCCUUGCUGUAAGACAGAGAGCCAGGGGGGAAUCUUCUCUUUAACCGUUUCUCUCCGAUAGCUAUCAAAAUAAAGUUUCUACCUGACCUGAUUCCAGAUUCUACAGCAUGUUUUUUUCCACAACAGCCUUUUUUAGGACAGGUCAGGGAAGCUUGCGUUGAAGCCGAUCCUGAGCUCUGGUGAAACUUCUGUCUUCUUUGUACGAGUAUAAUGAAUCCAGUUGUCUUUUUUCUGCUACCUUUACGGUAGUGUGGGAAGUGAGGAGGACUUGAUAAGGUCCUUGCCACCUCGGUUCAAGAGGAGACUGUUUCCAAGUUUUUACGUACACCCAGUCUCCAGGCUGGACGCGAUGUGCUGGAACAUUGUCAGGUAAGGGUUGAUUUAAAGCAGCAUACCUAUGGAGAGAUUUUAACUGAGACUGUAGAGAUAAAAUAUAAGAGGUGAGUUUUUCAUCACCUAAAAGGGAGGAGGUGUGAGCCAGUAAUAAGGGGGAAUGUUGGGGAACAGGGUGUCCAAACAAUAGCUUGUAAGGGCUGAGCUUUAGUUUUCCCCUGGGGGUGGUUCUGAUGGACAUAAGAGAUAGUGGGAGAGCCUUAGUCCAUUUUAACCUGCUCUCAGCACAUAGCUUUCCAAUUUUUUGUUUCGGGGUCUGAUUUAUUCUCUCCUGAGUAUUUAACAGUGGAUUUAUAGAACUGAAGCUUGCUUGGUGCCACCUUGUGGCUAGUGCAGUGAGUAAGAUGAUGGUGUCCUGGGUAUAUGCUUCUGAUGAGGUAGAGCAUAAGAGCAAAUCAUCCACGUAUAUUAGGAGGGAUGAGGAGUUAGGAAAAGUAACAUCUUGCAAAUCUUUGUGAAGAAUUUGAGAAAAAAUGCUGGGAGAUUCUACAUAUCCUUGGGGUAACCUUGUCCAGGUCAGUUGAGAAGAACCCCAGAUGAAGGCAAAAAGAUAUUGGGAUUCAGGGUGGAUGGGGAUGCUGAAGAAAGCUGAACAGAGGUCUACUACUGUAUAAACAGCAGUGUCAUGGGGUAUUGCAGUUAAAAUAGUAUUGGGGUUAGGAAUGACUGGGUGUUGAGGAAUGACAUACUUAUUAAUUUGUCUGAGGUCUUGAACAAAAUGAUAGACGGGCUUUCCGUCUGGACCAGGCUUGGGUUUCUUUACUGGAAGUAUGGGCGUGUUACAGGGGGACUGGCAGGGAAUCAAAAUUCCUUGUUUAGAAAAAUCUUCAAUUAAAGGCUUGAGUCCCUCAAUAGCUUUUGCUUUUAAAGGGUAUUGGGGUACUUUAGGUGACUCGAGAUUGGUGCGAAUUAGAAUUUUGACAGGAUCUGCAGAUUUUAGGAGUCCAACCGAGCUGGAGGUGAGGCCCCAAAGUUCUAGGGGUACCUUUUCUUUUAGGACAGAUGGGAGAGAUUUUAAACUUGGGUCCUGGAUGGGUACAAGGACUGCAGCCAAUGUAGGGAUUUGAGAGGACGGGAAUGUUAAGAUAAUUCCAUUGGGUGGACACUGUAUGGUGGCACAUAGUUUGCAGAGAAGGUUUCUUCCUAGAAGGUUGACAGGACUGUUGGCUAAGAGGAAAGAGUGUUCUGCUGAAAGAGGACCAAUCUUGAUAUUAACGGCUUGAGAAAAGGGACAACGGAACGGUCUGCCCUUGAUACUUAUAACUGUGACUUGUUUUCCAAAUACAAGUUUUAACACAGGCAAAGUGGCAGGUGUCUCAGGGUCCAUGUUUCCAUACUGGCGUAUAGCUUUACAGAGUCUUUCAAAGUAGUCUGAAGGGUGUUCUUCUGGACUCUGAAUAGUAGAUGUCACUUUAGAGCAGUUUGCAGUUUUAUCUCCUGCCUUUUUUAGUCCUUCUAAGAUACUUUCCUUUAGCAUUCAUAUUGAGUUUUGCCCCCUUUCCUGGUUGUAAUUCUAAUCUGGAUCUUGCCUAGAUAUGCCAUUAGGCAUGGGGUGGUUUUGAUGCCGCUGAUUGGCUAGAAAUUGGUCAGCAUGGUGUAGUACUUGGGUCUUCUCGUCUGAGGUUAAAAGGCUUUUGAGAAGCUGCAUGACAUCUGACCAGGAGGGGUUAUGAGUCAUGAAAAUGGUUUUGAAGCACCUUAGAACUACUUCGGGAUCAUCUCUGGGCCUGGGGGUGUUUUCUUGCCAGUUUAAAAGGUUGGUGGUGGAGAACGGAGUAUGUGUCCAGUGACUGAUAACAUCUCCACCCGCGCCAGGCACAGGGUAUUCUCUUAGGGGAGUCAUAAAGCUAGGGGCAGGUAUUCGUUGUUGGGUACGAUUAGCUAUGGGAGUCGGAUCAGUGUUCGGGGAGGUUGAGUCUGGAAAGGGAUGCCUUGAUCCAUCUACAGGCUCAGAACUUGGGCGGUCACCAGGAGGCAGUCGGGGUGAUGCCUCCCCACGAUUUCCUGUGUCCCCUGCCAGCAUGGGAAUGAACGGAUCAGGUGGGAUAGGGGGUCUGGACAUGGGUCUAUAAUCAUCUUCUGAAUAUAAAGUUGGUGCAGAGGGCUUUGGACAUUGAAGGGGAGCUAACAAAUUCGGGGAAGGUACAGGGGUCGGGGUGGCUAAAGGCUUUGAUUGCUUACUAGCAACAUUGUCCCAUAAAUACCAAUAAUUCAUUUGGCCGGGGCAGAGGUCCUCCAAGAUCUUUUGUAAGGCAGUCAGGCAAUUUAGGUCAAAUGAUCCAUUUUCUGGCCAUUGUCUUCCCAAAUCUAACUGAGACGUAUAAGACGUCCAAUUAAUUAAACAGAGUUCUGCCAUAUGAGACUUGGACAGUUCUGCCCGUCCCUCCAAAUGGUUCCAAUUCUUGAUCAUAAUCAGGGGUGAAUCGGGAAUAGCUUUUACUUUCUCUAGGUCGGAACCCAUGAUUAUAUCUAAGUACUGUCACAACCCAAAGCUGUGAUUUUUUGUUUGUGUGCGCUUCGGCAUCGCUAAAUUAUUUUUCCCGCUAAAUUGCAGCUUCUUUGCACAGUAGAGUUUUCUGCUGCAGAAGAGAACUCUGGUGCAAUGGAGUAUUUCCUGCCAAUUUGAAGCUUUCUUUGCAUGGUGCACUUCUUUUUGCAUUUAGGAAGUGCACGGUGCAAGGAGUUCCCACCAUUUGUAUGAGAAUUUGUGCCACAUUAUUGGCCAGUUCUAAUACAUGCACACAUGGCGGCUAGUGAUUGGCUUGCUAGCCGUAUAAAGAGCUUGGGUGGUUUCCGCCCAAGUUGGAGGAAUUAGAGAACUCACCAGGAGGAGGAGACUUCGCGCUGUGUGAAGAUCUCUAAGCGCUGCAGAUCCUUACGGACCCAAUGCAUUUCUUAAAAGGCAACAGAGGUCUAAACAGCCUCUGGCCUCUCCCUGUCGCCGAGCGCAAUCCUAGACAUGUCCCUUUCCUUUAUACUAAACCAAACCGGACCCACGGAGCCUUAACAAUUCCGUGGGAGCAACCGAACUUGUCGUAAUCCUCAGACAGGGAUUUAAGCGGAGCUGUGCCUGGAAAGCUGUCCAGCCUACACCACUACCAUUUUUGGUGUAAGUAAACAAUCUUUUAAUCAACCACUACGCGUCUGUGAUCAAUUCUAGUUCGCCCCCGGUCUUCUCCAACCCCAUGUGCCCGGGCUGCUGGCCACAGCCUGCGUGCGCAAAGACGGGCCCCGGCUCGCCCCCGGUUGGCCCGCACAAGUACCAGCAGUUUUAUUCCCUAAUUUUUACCUGCCUAGAAGCUGUUUCAUCCACAUACAACAACCGGUGUUCUCGGACCCCACUGGCUUCCUCCAUGAGGAGGGGCGUCUUGAGUCCGAGACCCUAGUCAUUGGCCAUUAUAACAGCAUUUCUACCUUAUAUCCAUGUCUUUUGCCUUUCGACCAGGCUGCCGCUCUAACAGCUUUUAAAGUGGCAGACGGAUAACCCUUGGACUGCUCUCAAAGUCCUCUAGAGGAAUAAAGAUGGGACUCGAACCCACAACCAAACGGGAACAAGACCAGAGUCCUCUAAAGGACUAACCAGAAACCAAAACCCUGGAACAACCAGUGUAGCAGAAAGCCCCCUUUUUCCUCUUACCUGCAUUUGCCUCUCCCCUCUUUGGAUAUGUUUCUCUUUUUCUACCUAUUCUUCCUUCCUCUCUCUUUCACUUUAAGAUAAGGAAUUGUGUUUUAAAAUUUGUAUGUGUGCAUUUUGUAUCUCCCCUUGUAUUUCGGUAUUUUUAUCUAUUUGUGUGCCAUGGCAUUUGUAGCUUAUAUUUUAUACUCCUCACCUUUCAACUGAAUGUAUUUCGUUUCAUAAGUAAGUCAUACAUUGUAAUAACGUUAACAAGGGCAGGAAUCAAGCUGCCCUUCCCUGUAUCAGGCUGGCCCCUGAAAGAGCGAGUGAAUCAGUGAUUGAAUGUGUAACACAGUAGCAGCAGGCAGCAAUUAACACCUGGGAAGUUGCAGACCAGCCAACGGAAGAACUCAAUAGAAAACAAUGUAACAACUGGGAAAUCUCUAAACAUCACUGAUUAAGGGCUAGAAGCCCUGGCCUGAGUUAAUCAACACCAGGGACCAACUUUUGGGCUGAGUAUCUCCAGAUCAACUGCUCCCAGAGCCCUAUUCAAAAUUCAUCAACAGACUCCCAAAUCUGCACGUACAUGCGGAUGACCCCUGGGGCUGAAAGAUGCCAUCCAGUAGCCACUGGGUGGGGGGGGGUGGGAAUUCCCACGAGGGUCAAUGACCCCUGGAUUGGGCAAACCUGAAAUCUGGGGAGUCACCAAAGUCUGCCAUGGACAGAUAAAAGGCUAUGAAAAGUGACCCUCAGUGGCUCCCUCUUGAUCUCCAACUUGACCAGACCUGUCCAUCUAGAAGGACCAGCCGGCGACCCCCUUCUGGAAGAUAACACCACACUGAGAGAAGCCUCAACGACAGACUCCAGCACUUGUAGGAUAGGUAUACCUGACUCUGUAGCCUGCUACUGUGUGCGUGUGCAUGUGUAUGUGGGGGGGGGGGGGACCAGACCCAAGGUUUAUGAUUACAGUGUUUCAAUCCGCCUAAUAAACUAGAAUUUUAAGGACCCCAAGUUGGACAUUUGUAGCCAACAUUACUUGGUGGAGAAUGCAGGCAUUAUUCUAGGAUUAUUAGCGGAUUGGUAAUUGGGGAGACUGUGUCUUCAGAUAGAACCCACGUUCACGGAGGUGGGUGGGCAAUAGUCACCCAAGGGGGUGGGCAGACUCAAGGAGGGUCUGGAUUUAGUUGUCAUCCAAGGGGGUGAGCAUAUCUCAAAGAAGGGAUUUGGUUCUAGAACUGCAGGGGCAGGGACAGAGUCAGUUGGGAGUGCAAGGGCUCAAGGAAACUGAGAGGCUUGAGGCAUGUUGAGGAAAAUGUCUUUGUUUAGGAAAAAAGCCCCUAAGGUUGGAGCAGGAGGCCAAGAAGAUAAGUGGGUACGGAGGGAGGAAAUUUCCCCUCUCCAUAGGGGGAUUCUGAAGGGUGAAGCCAGUCCAUGGAGGGAGGAUGUGUGCACCCCAGGCUUUUCCAUAAGGGACACUGAAUCCCAAUUUGAAAGAUUUUGCCUUUGUGAAAAACCCUCAAUUCAAAGGCAACACAGUGCCUGGGUCUGGCUACUGUGGCAUGCUGUAAAAACAGCAGUUGAGGAAAAAGCUCAGCGAGCCUCUGAAAUUGAGGAAAAGGAGGAGCUAACCCAAAUUCUAAAAGAUAGAUGUGUCCAGUUGGAAACCAGUAAUCAGACUCUAAAGGGGUUGUCUUGGAACUUGGAAAAUGAAAAGGAGCAAUUGAGAAAAAUAAAUCAAGACAAUGCCCAAAAAUUGGAAUUAUUGGACCAAUAAAGGCUAGCCGAGAAGCCUUGCAAAAAUUGGUAAAAACAAUGGCUAAAGACCAAGCCAAGAAGGGAGCCAAGGUCAACCAUGGCCCCUGUCUAAAUACCAUUAACCGUUUAAAAAAGGAACUCCAGGAGCGCAGCCUGCAAGUAGCAGCUGUCAUCCGGGGAGACCAAGCCAGGGAUCCAGACAUCCCCUUCAAUCCAGGAGAGAUUUGGGGUGGGGAGAUGUGGGGAGAUCCGGAGGAUGCAGGGGAGCCCUCUCCUGAAGACCCUAAGUCAAAUCAGGAGAGGACCCUGGUGCCUGAGGUGAGCACAAUCACGUGGACCUCAGUCAAUUGGGAUGCUCAGGGAAAACCCACAGAAACCACACAGGUAACGGUCCCCCUCAGUGGAGCUGAUCUACCAGUCCUGGGUAGGACCCUGGGAUCUGCUAACAUUAGGAAUUUGGGACAGUGGUUGCAGAAAUCCCUGAAUGUAGUGGAGUGUGAAACCCUGAGUGUCCAGGAAUGGCACCGCCUACUAAGGGCUUGCGCCACCCCAGAGAUUCAGGCAGCAAUGGAUCAGGAGGACAGCUUUGGGGGAGACAAUAUUCUCUGGAGCAUAGUGGGUUUGGGGAUCAGUUUGGGAAGAAAGACAUUUAAGGGACAGUUCGGGGCUAGCCACCACCUGGGGAACCUGUUAGGGACUGUGUGAUUCAGUGUGUUAUGUUGGGAUUGCUGUCAGGGACAGUUCUGCCCCUAGACAAGGAGAACAAACGGACAUCGGACAUAAGAAGUAUAGAUUACCCUCCUGGGUUUUGGAAGGAAGUACAGGAAGGCAUGCAUCAGCCCAUAACUGGACUGAUGGGACCGCUCCGAGAGACUGGGAGAUAUGUGCUGGGAGAAGUCCUAGCCCGGGCUCAGGAUGCAGAGAGGUUAAUUGGACAUCAAGGGGGGGCGAUUGCAGACACCCAGUUCAAAGGAAAGCUUAAUGACAUACCAAAUUAUGUGGUUAUCUAUUCUAAUGAAAGUGCCUACCCCAAAACUGAUAGAGGGGCUGGGGGUCCAAAUUAUCGCCCCAGCCCACACUGGGUUAACCCCAGGGUAUCAAAGGAAAGAGAGGGGGAAAACAGGAUUCGGUCAGCAGUGUGGAAGUUUUUUAUGCAGCAUGGGGAACCGAGAGGGAAUUGGCAUGGAAAGCCUCUAGCCGAGCUGCUUAUCAGAAUGGCAGAGCUGACCUGGGAGGGAGCAGCACCUCCCCUUUCUGACAGGGUAGCUGCCUCAGCCCCAGUCUCCGAAGAACAGUGACAGAGCCCCCGUAAUGGGACCCCUGAGCAAAGCCCUAGCUCAUGGGAGAAAUUGGGGACCCUCGAUUGGGAUCCAGGAGGGAGACCCCAAAUACCCAUUACGGUGGGAACUCAAGGGCACACCAGUGCGCUCCUGGACACCAGAGCUGCGCUAAAUGUAUUUGGGAGGAAAUGGGACCUGAAGCAAUUUGAGACUGAUCAAAUUGCACUCCGAUCCUUUACAGGACAGGAGUCCACCGGGGUGGUGUGCACAGGGGUGACCACCUGCAUCCGAUUCCCAGAGGAGUCCCAAGAAAUCAGUAUAGAUGGAGUUCAACAAGAGGGCUCCACUGAACAGUUGAUUCUGGGAGCCCCCUUGUUCAACCGGGAAGGCUGGAUCCUGGAUCUAGCCAAUGGGAUUGUAUGGCAAGCACAGACAGCUGACCCCUGGGAACCUCGUGAGACAAAUCCAUAUUGGAGUUGGGAAUGGUGUAAGGGGCUUGGAGCCAUUGACUUUGACUCGGGGGAUGAGUGGGCGCAGCAGUUCCCUAACGUAUGGGCUAGGAGUAAAAGUGACUGUGGUUGGAUCAACACCUGCAUUAAGAUCUUAGGGGAUCCAGUGCCUCCUCAAAAACAGUAUAGCUUCCCCAAGCAAGCCAUACAGUUAAUUAUCACAGACCUACUGCAGCAGGGAGUGCUGACUGAAACCAAUUCAGAAUGUAAUUCCCUCAUAUGGCCCGUCCUAAGGGCGGACUGGGUAUCAUGGAGGCUAACUGUUGACUACCGAGCCAUUAACAAUGGGACUCGCCCCAUGGCUCCUAUAGUGGCUAACAUGCCUGCCAUGCUUAGCAGGGUACAAGAGAGUCCCCAAUGGUUUUCUGUAAUAGAUCUAGCUAAUUGCUUCUUUGCAAUCCCUCUGCACCCCGAGUCAUGGAACCAAUUUGCUUUUACCUUUAAAGGGAAACAGUACACCUUUACCCGGGUCCCACAGCAGGUUCACAAUGCCCCAGCUAUAGCCCACCACCAUGUCGUAUCCAUGCUCCAGAGUUUAGCUGGACCCGAUCAGGAAAGGGUGGUUUCUUAUGUAGAUGACAUACUGGGAUGGGGAGAUCAGGAGCGGGAGGUGAAGGGAUGCACGGGGAGUGCUGGCUUUGAUCCAGAACACUGGGUUCAGGGGCAGCAGACCAAAGGCUCAGUUAGUCAUGCAAGAAGUAACCUACUUGGGUGUAAGACUGGGGUGGAAGGGAAAAAGAUCGAUUCCCAGAAGGUCACUGCCCUACUGAACAUGCCGGUUCCCAAGGAUACUCACUCCCCGCGGGUGCUGCUUGGAAGUUUUAACUUCCUCGGCUCCCACAUAUACCAAUUUGCAGAGAUCACAUGGUCCCUGUGGAGGCUGCUAAAGAAAAAGGUGCAGUGGGAGUGGGGAGACAGUGGGCAAAAGGUUUGUUGUUCACUUAAGGAGGCGUUAAUCGCGGCUCCUGCUCUGGCAUACCCUAACUCAUUGAAGCCUUUCUGUAUUAAGUUGGCAACCAAUGAAAUAGCUCUAUCAGCCGUGUAACUGCGGGGUCCUGCAGGAGGGCCGUGAUCUCCUUACAGCCCCCUCACCGUGCCCAGUCGGCCCAAGGGCACCCUCAAAUUCUCACCCGCCACGUCUUUGAUGACUAGAUAAGGUAGGGAGGCUGCCUUACGACUCCCUGGGCACGGUUGGCUGGGACCUCUGUCCCCAUGUGUUCCCGGACCCCGCCUGGGGGUCUCGCAGUAUGAUGGGUGCUCCCCAGGCACCCUAGCCUUAUGGGCUACGCAUGGCUCCUACCAACCCCUAAUACCACACCCCAAGCCUUGUUGAUGUCCUAGACGUUGGUAUGUCUCUCUAUAUAUAUUUUGCCCAUCUCUCGGGCCUCCUCCACGUACUGCCCUCCCUUGGGCUCUCUGAGCCCACUCGGGGUCUCCCUAUAAUGUUGCCCCCUGUCUGGGGCCUUUACAAUAGUGCCCCCUCCUGGGGCUUUUCCUACAAUGCUGCCCAAACUCAGGCUUCUAAAAUACAGCCCCCCAUCUGGGGCUCUCUGCGCCCACUCUGGGGACUUCUCGGUGACGCCCCCUGACUCUCAGGCCCACCGUGCUGCUGCCCCCUUUCUCCCAGGGCUCGCUGUGCCACUACACCCUCUCGCCAGGGCAACUGCAGCACUCUACCCUGCUCCGGGGUUUAUCGCAGCACUCGCCCUUCUUCAGAGGCUCACUGUGCCCGCACUGGGAUUCCUAAUAAUAUCGCCCCCUCUCUAGGGCUUGCUGUGCCCCUACAGGCUUCCUCAUAACACUGCCCCCUCUCUGGGGCUUGUCGUGCCCGUGCUGGGGCUUCUCAAAGCUGCCCCUCUCUGGCGCUGGGGUCCAUGUACCCCGCAAGUUGCGCCUUCACUGGCACCGGGGUUCCCAUAUAACUGGGAUUCCCCCCGAGAAUAUUGCACCCUCACUGGCGCUAGGACCCCACCCAUCUGGGGUCCCUAUGAGGUCUCUUCCAACCCCUAUAGCCUCACCCAAACCACCAGUACAAUAUCAAAGCAGAACAUGAACUCGAGCCUCCUGGCUAUAACUCAAACAUAAGGCACUAGGCCAUAACAACAUAAGCCUUCUGGCUGCAAUUCAACCCCAUUGCGCCCUCCUCUAGAGCUCUCGCAGGCUAUACUUGCGAUCCAGGUUCUCCCUAUAUCCUGGCUGACGGAGCUCCUGCCUCUCCGUCUGCUAGCAGGCAACCGCCAGCCUGGCCUCAGCACUGGGCUUUAUGAGGGCCAGGCCCUGCCCUCUUCUGGCCAGCUGACUCAGAUUAGUUGCCCCGGCAACCCGCAGCUGUGGUUGUGUUCUGCCAGGGCUCUCUCUCCCUGGCAGUUUCUACUCCCUAGGAGCAGGCACUGAGGUGCCCUGCGACAAGCCGUACUGCUAAAAAAAAAAUUCAGACAGUAAACUAGUACCCAUAUCUUACGAAUCCCGCAUAUUGACAGGUCCAGAGAUUAAUUUUAACCAGCGUGAACGAGAGUGCCUGGCUGCAGUAUGGGCUGUUCACAAAUGUGAAGGACUCACAGAGAUGGCCCCAGUAAUCAUCCAGACACAUCACUCACCCUUAAAGUACAUUUUAUCAGGAAACCUGACAGGGUCUAAAGUGUCCAACACCUGGAUCACCCAGUGGGCAUUGUUCCUGACUGGACGGGGAGUUGGACAUGAAACCCAGUCUAAGGUGGAUAUGCUCCCCUAUGCCUUUUUAGUAGAAGGCACUACUCACCGGUGUCCUGGUACAGAGCCUUGCCAAGGGAACAGGGGGGUCACUGAGGCUCCAGAGCUGGAAGAAAACCCAGCAGUGGAGGAUCAGCCUACCCUUGUGUGGUUUACAGAUGAGAGCUCUAGCUUUGAAAAUGGAAAGCGGUUUACUGGAUAUGGAGAGGUGAAUUUAAAUAAUGAUCAGAUCAGGGGUCCUUUGCCAGCGGGGUACUCAGCUCAAGCUGCUGAAGUACCAGCCCCGAGGGAACUCCAUGAACAGCAUAACCCAUCUGAAGGGAAAUUGUGGAUCUACACUGACUCUGACUUCUGUGCUAGGGCCCUGCUAUAUUGGACAUAUAAUUGGAGCAAAGCUAAUUGGCAUGCUGCUGAUGGCAACGAAAUUGCACAAAAGGGUGAUUGGCAGGCAAUUUGGGGAUGAAUUCAAAGGCAUCCAUCCUCACUACACAUUCGACAUGUUAAAGGUCAUCUAAAGGCUGAUACUUUAGAAGCCAAAAUGAACCAAUUAGCAGAUGCUACAGCAAAGAGAAGAGCACCGGGAGACAUUGCCGUGGUGCAAACCCGGUCCUCAAGCCACCAAAAUUGGAAGAUUCAGGAGGAGUAUGCUGUUCAUCAGGAAACUGGAGAAGUUAGAUGGGUACCACCUCCAGAGUAUAGAGAGGAAAUCAUAACUGCUUGUCACAGCUUCAGGCACGAGGCAUCUGGAGCCACAACAGCUAGGGUGCAGGAAAUUGCUUACUGGCCAGGGACGUCCAAAGAUGUGAAGGUGUGGGUGCAGAAGUGCUUGCGCUGUGCAGGGGAGGGAGCAAAACUAAAAGACCCUGGACUCCUCUUCCAUCAAAAGUUAGUGGGUCCAUGGCAAAGGAUCCAAAUGGAUUACAUGGACAAGCUCUCCUGCACAGCAUGAGGAAACCAGUAUUUGCUAAUGGUUAUAGAUUCCUUCAGUGGGUGGGUGGAGGCAUUUUCUAUGCGCACCCACACUGCUGAAGCCACAGCAAAGAAACUCUGGACAGAUGUAAUAUGCCGGUUUGGAGCUCCUAAAAUCAUAGACUCAGACCGAGGUCCCCAUGUCACUGGGGCUGUUGUUAAACAACUGCUGCAAGCCUUAGGCAUCAGGCAGCAGUGGCACAUUCCCCACCACCCCCAGGCAUCUGGGCAGGUAGAGCGAAUGAAUAGGACAAUUAAGGAGUCGUUACGGAAGGUGGUAAAUCAAACAGGUACAGACUGGGAUCUUAAGCUUCCUUUGAUCUUAGCUGCUCUCUGGAGCAGGAACCACUUGGGAACCAGCCUCCAGCCCUAAGAGAUCCUAUUUGACAAGUGGAUGGCUCUAAUACCCGCUGGGCUUACCCCAUACCCAGACAACCUGGACAAUCGACAGCCCACAGAAAUUAUUGAAUGGGUAAAAGAGCUCCCAUAUUGUUUGAGGCAUCAGGAGUUGCAAAUGAAUGAAGCUAUUCAGCAAGCUCGGCUGCGGAUGGACAGGCAGCUCCAACAGCUUCCCAGGCUUUGGGAAAUUGGACAGUCAGUCAUGUACCUUAGACUCACCCCAAAGGCAUAUGUCCUGGAGUCCAAAAGGAUUGGACCCUUCACUAUUAUCAAUCAGUUAAGCCCAACCGUGGUCUAAAUUGAUAAAGGGGAAUCAGGAAAAUGGGUACAUGUGUCCCAACAAAAACUGCUUAAGGGGGCGGAAUAGAUCUAACCCUGAAUCUAGCCUUGUUAACAGGAUUCCUGGUGUCAUGAGGAGAGUAUCCCAGUGACCUUGCUUGGAGAAAAGAAAAAGAAAAAACAAACAAACAAACAAAGAAGUGAGCCACCAACCACUUGACCCUCGAAGAACAGAGUAACCAAUCUUUUAACCCUGCAGGCCACCCUUCAUGGCUAGCAGGAAGGAACGGCUCUGAGCCGUUGGAAAAUACAUAUCAGACGGGCUGAUCAGUGCCCACCUUGAUGUUGAGGCAGGAAAAGGCCAAAAAAAUCCUCAAUUUAGGAUGGCCACCUUCCUGUAGGUAACUGCUCCACUUUUUCAGUAUGAAAGAAAAGCACCCAAAGAAUGGAAAAUGCUGUGUGCACUGCCACUGCACAUGUCAGCAUUGCACUUUGUAAUUAUGAAUAAUCAGCCACUGCAAGGAGUUUUCCUUGGCAGGUUUGUGUGUGUUUGUUUUCUUUUGCAGAAACCACAGUAUAGUCAAAGGUGACCGACAAACCAUGAGGCCUCACUACCGUCAGCAGCGUCUUCCUCAUCACAGCCAUGGCAAAAAUUAUCUUGUCUGUUUGUGGUGUCUUGUUAUAGGUUUUGUGUUUGUUUGUUUGGUUUGUUUUAAGUUGUCACAGUUUAAAUACAUAUGAUAUCAUAAAGAUAUAAUAAGGGUAAUUGGUAAUACCCCCUCUAAAAAUUGAACCUGUCUGUGGAUCUCAGACCAGAACACUUCUGUCUGGUUGGACUGGAAAGUUGUUCUGAUAUUUGAAACAAGAGCAGCAAUUCUCAAAAGGUUUUAUAUUCCACUUGGUUAGCAAAAGGAUGUUUAUUAAGGGUCAUGUGUACUUUGUUUUUUUGGGUUUGGUUUUGUUUUGUUUUGUCUCUGUACUUCUCUUAAGGAUUUAAAUGCUACUUAGAAUAUCAGUAUACCAAGAUGUGUGUAAAAAAAACCAACAAAAACAAAACAAAAACUGCAUUCAAAGUCAUAUUUUAAUAAGCAAAGAGACAACUAUACCAUUGUAACAGUUCAAAUCAACCUUGUUAUGUUAUUUUCUCUCUCCACCCCCCAAGGCUUUUCUCUUUCAAUAUCUUUUAACUGCCUAAGUUUUGUUUUAACUUCAAACCAGCUGAUGAUACACCUCCUGUCUACAGAGCUGAACAAUGGCAUUCAAACAGUAUAGUGACAUCACCCUUGUGUAAGGCCGAUGUCAAGGGGGGGGGGAAUAAUAUAGCAGAAAGCCCCCUUUUCCUCUUGCCUGCAUUUGCUCUCCCCUCUUUGGAUAUGUUUCUCUUUUUCUACCUUUUCUUCCUUCCUCUCUCUUUCACUUUAAGAUAAGGAAUUGUGUUUUAAAAUUUGUAUGUGUGCAUUUUGUAUCUCCCCUUGUAUUUUGGUAUUUUUAUCUAUUUGUGUGCGAUGGCAUUACUUCUGUAGCUUAUAUUUUAUACUCCUCACCUUUCAACUGAAUGUAUUUAGUAUCAUAAGUAAGUUAUACAUUGUAACAAUGUUAACAAAGGCAGGAAUCAAACUGCCCUUUCCUGUAUCAGAAUGGCCCCUGAAAGAGCGAGUGAAUCAGUGAUUGAAUGUGUAACUCUGUAGCAGCAGGCAGCAAUUAGCACCUGGGAAGCUGAAGACCAGCCAACAGAAGAACUCAAUAGAAAACAAUAUAACAACCGGGAAAUAGCUAAACGUCACUGAUCAAGGGCUAGAAGCCCUGGCCUGAGUUAAUCAACCCAGGGACCAACUUUAGGGCUGAGUAUCUCCAGAUCAACCGCUCCCAGAGCCCUAUUCAAAAUUCAUCAACGGACUCCCAAACCUGCACGUACAUGCGGAUGACCCCUGGGGUUGACAGAUGCCGUCCAGUAGCCACCGAGGAGGGGAAGUCCCACGAGGGUCAAUGACCCCUGGAUUGGGCAAACCUGAAAUCUGGGGAGUCACCAAAGUCUGCCAAGGACAGAUAAAAAGCAGUGAAAAGUGACCGUCAGUGGAGCCCUCUUGAUCUCCAACUUGACCAGACCUGCCCAGCCAGAAGGACCAGCUGGCAACCCCCUUCUGGAAGAUAACACCAUGCUGAAAGAAGCCUCAACAACAGACUCCAGUGCUCAUAGGAUAGGUAUACCUGACUCUGUAGCCUGCUACUGUGUGUGGGGGGGGGGACCAGCCCCAAGGUUUAUGAUUACAAUGUUUCAAUACGCCUAAUACACUAGAAUUUUAAGGAUCCCAAGUUGGACAUUUGUAGCCAACACCAGGAACCAGGAAUUAAACCAAAAACAUACAGACCUGAGGUACCUGAAGUACCAUUCCUUUACCCAAUUUAAGGAUCCCGCCUUAUUGGUCCUGAGGGGACCGUCCACCUCCCGAGACUGACCCAAAUAGGUGAACUCACCUGGUGCACGCUGGGGUGUCAGGGGGUGGAGGUCUCCAAAGGCUCCAAGCUAGACAGGUCUCAUCAGGGGUGCCAAAUUGUCGUGGGAGAAAACUUCCUGGAGUACGUUGUCUAGCCGCAUAGGAACCAGGCAACAUGGUAAAGGGUUAACUGCAGUUUAUUUGCUCAAGCAAAGACCAUAAGCCAGCAAAGAGGCAAAAUUGUCCCAAUUUAAGGGUGGGGCUGUCUUCUAUGCCUUUUCUAACAAAGAAAACUACAAGGUCAUUAAAUAUGCAAUACUUAUGGUGAUCA